GAUGAACGCUAGCGAUAGGCUUAACACAUGCAAGUCGAGGGGCAGCACAAGGUAGCUUGCUAUCUGGGUGGCGACCGGCGCACGGGUGCGUAACGCGUAUGCAACUUGCCCUAUACAGGAGGAUAACCCGUCGAAAGACGGACUAAUACUGCGUAUGCUCACAACUUGGCAUCAAGUGGUGAGGAAAGAAAUUCGGUAUAGGAUAGGCAUGCGUCCCAUUAGCUUGUUGGUGAGGUAACGGCUCACCAAGGCAACAAUGGGUAGGGGAACUGAGAGGUUUAUCCCCCACACUGGUACUGAGACACGGACCAGACUCCUACGGGAGGCAGCAGUGAGGAAUAUUGGUCAAUGGGCGCGAGCCUGAACCAGCCAAGUCGCGUGAAGGAUGACUGUCUUAUGGAUUGUAAACUUCUUUUAUACGGGAAUAACAAGAGUCACGUGUGACUCCCUGCAUGUACCGUAUGAAUAAGCAUCGGCUAACUCCGU
rnacentral:rRNA from 1 species